UAAUACGGAAGGUGCAAGCGUUGUCCGGAUCUACUGGGUGUAAAGGGCGUGUAGGCGGAGUGGUAUGUCAGAAGUGAAAUCGCACGGCUUAACCGUCGCAAGUGCUUCUGAAACUGCCACCCUUGAGGGCCAGAGAGGGAGAUGGAAUUCCCGGUGUAGCGGUGGAAUGCGUAGAUAUCGGGAGGAACACCCGUGGCGAAGGCGGUCUCCUGGCUGGCAACUGACGCUGAAACGCGAAAGUGUGGGGAGCAAACAGGAUUAGAUACCCUGGUAGUCCACACUGUAAACGAUGGUCACUAGGUGUUGGAGGAUUCGACCCCUUCAGUGCCGCCGCUAACGCAUUAAGUGACCCACCUGGGGAGUACGAUCGCAAGGUUG
rnacentral:rRNA from 1 species